rnacentral:rRNA from 1 species
GAUCCUGGCUCAGGAUGAACGCUGGCGGCGUGCUUAACACAUGCAAGUCGAACGAAGCACUUUACUACGAUUCCUUCGGGAUGACGGUUUAGUGACUGAGUGGCGGACGGGUGAGUAACGCGUGGGGAACCUGCCCCAUACCGGGGGAUAACAGCCGGAAACGGCUGCUAAUACCGCAUAAGCGCACAGUACCGCAUGGUACGGUGUGAAAAACUCCGGUGGUAUGGGAUGGGACCCGCGUCUGAUUAGCCAGUUGGG